GUCCACGCCGUAAACUAUGGAUGCUAGCCGUCGGCAAGCUUGCUUGUCGGUGGCGCAGCUAACGCAUUAAGCAUCCCGCCUGGGGAGUACGGCCGCAAGGUUAAAACUCAAAGGAAUUGACGGGGGCCCGCACAAGCGGUGGAGCAUGUGGUUUAAUUCGACGCAACGCGAAGAACCUUACCAGCUCUUGACAUGUCAGGUCGGUUUCCAGAGAUGGGAUCCUCCCAGCAAUGGGCCUGAACACAGGUGCUGCAUGGCUGUCGU
rnacentral:rRNA from 1 species